rnacentral:rRNA from 1 species
AUUGAACGCUGGCGGCAUGCCUUACACAUGCAAGUCGAACGGCAGCGGACCUUCGGGUGCCGGCGAGUGGCGAACGGGUGAGUAAUAUAUCGGAACGUGCCUUUCAGUGGGGGAUAACGUAGCGAAAGUUACGCUAAUACCGCAUAUUCUGUGAGCAGGAAAGCAGGGGAUCGCAAGACCUUGCGCUGAUUGAGCGGCCGAUAUCAGAUUAGCUAGUUGGUGAGGUAAAGGCUCACCAAGGCGACGAUCUGUAGCGGGUCUGAGAGGAUGAUCCGCCACACUGGAACUGAGACACGGUCCAGACUCCUACGGGAGGCAGCAGUGGGGAAUUUUGGACAAUGGGCGCAAGCCUGAUCCAGCCAUGCCGCGUGAGUGAAGAAGGCC